AGGACGAACGCUGGCGGCGUGCCUAACACAUGCAAGUCGAACGGGGGUAGCAAUACCCCAGUGGCGAACGGGUGCGUAACACGUGAAGAACUUGUCCAUCGGCGGGGGAUAGCCGGCCCAACGGCCGGGUAAUACCGCGUACGCCGUCUGAAGCGCAUGCUUCGGCCGGGAAAGCAGCAAUGCACCGAUGGAGAGCUUCGCGGCCUAUCAGCUAGUUGGCGGGGUAACGGCCUACCAAGGCGACGACGGGUA
rnacentral:rRNA from 1 species